rnacentral:lncRNA from 1 species
GUGGUGAUGUUUGUACAAUUGGAAGCUUUCAGUGGGUGAAUUUUUGUAAGACAAUUGGAGGGAAUAUUUAGUAGAGCCCAGCAAAGACUGCUUGGCUGGGACUCUGAUCUUUCACUGAAGGGCCAGCCAGGCAGUGAGGGAGUGAGGAAUCAAUACUCAGAGGACCUUCCUACCAUCUCUCCCUCUGACCUCCUGCGGGGGAUCCCCAUUGGCUGAGCCCAGCCGGAAGCCGAGGGCAGGAAGUCUGCAGCAGUUGCUUAUACGGCUGGCCUUCUGAGGCAUAAUGGGGAGGAGAGCAUGGAGAGUGGAUGGGAGGGACAAAUGGAAGACACUCAGCGCACCUAGUCUGGUGACUGUGUGGUUGGGGCCCCAGUGAUGGUAGAGUGGCCUCUGUGCUGCAGGGCAUGUGUCACCAAGCCCCGGAAGCCCCAGGCAGGAAGGUCACCUACAGAAGAGAGGAAUGUGACAUUAGCCCCUGCCAAACCCACAAGAAGAAAAGUAAACACAGAUCAUUUGCAGCCAUGAAGUGUAUCAGGUUUAGAGUCC